AGCGAAUUCCCAGUAGUCUAAAACGCAGGAGAAACACUCGUGCUGUACUCUUUGUCUCCCGUAAGGUGCUCAUUUUCAUCGUCUGCUCCGUUCUCCAGCUAAGCGGCUUGCUCAAGAUCGCCACUCAUUCACAGGUCACCUUUAUUGUGCCAGGGCAACUGGGAAUUAUGAACGCAGACGAGAAGCUGUCCCGAGGCACUAAACGCGAGCUGAGGAGCAACGCGGUGAUGCUUGAUGUGCCACGAGCCUGCCGGGAAGAAGAAAAGCACCACGCCGGGAAUCAGGAGUCUUGGGAAGGGCGUGGAAUUAUCCUGCACCGAGAGUUGUGGUCCAGAAUUACGACUCCUGACCAUGUGUUUCUCAUCGCUCCGGCUAAAUGUAUUUCCGUUCGGAUGGUCAAUGGAGGCCAGCGUGCGGUCUGAUAUGCUACGGGAGGAAGUGCCUUGUGUCCAGUAUGCUGCAACAAGCGCAAUAUAAUAUCAUUCCUGUUGAGGAUAGUUCCCUUUGUUAUCUAAAGAAAACUUAACCGUAGGAGAUAUGAUUAGAUAAUAGGCCACUGAAUAAUAAGUUUUCAUACGCUCGUAAAGUCUUAAUAUUGGCCUCUUCCUCAGAAGUUGGACGCUACAUAGUUGGGCGCAAAUGUUCGUUUACAGCGAGUCUCCAUCACGGUAAGAGGGGGGCCGCGCCGGAGGCUGUGUGCUGGGCCAGACAUUUGGUAGUAUGGGCUGUGUUGUUGCCGAGCGCCGAGAGGGAGGCCGUAACGUUGCAGCUUUCUGGUUUAUUUCUCAUGUUAGAUUACAACCUCCAUCGGAAUGUCGCUGUGGUGUACAAAGGACUGGACUCGCUGUCUCUGGUUCAGUUCUGUGCUGCUGUGAAUACUAUGGACUAUUUCUGGCUUGUCUGUAGUGCACCCCGGAGCUAUAUUGGGGGGACGUUCGGUGCUAAUGCGGACUCUGAGUUGUAUGUAUUAGAAAGUUGCAUCAUUAAGUAAGCUUCCCAUCAUCUUAGACUACGACCGGUGUAGGUUCCAUUUUGCUUACACGUGUACCUUCUUACGAUGAUGUCUGUCUUGAAGCGUUAUGGCAGAGGCGUCAUUAGGGGCAGUGUUUGUAGUCAAGGCAUUACGUAAUCUUCCGCACCCCCGUUAAUAUACCGCCACAGUGGGUUCCAUCUUGCCUGCGUGCACCUUCUUACAGUAAUGUCAGUUUUGAAGCGCUAUGGUAGAGGCGUAAUUAAGGGCAGUGUUUGUGGGCGAGGCAGAUAUGUUUAAUUGGAGAAAAAUGUCCUUAGGUUGUUUCAAGACAGAAACAUCAAGACAUAUCUGGAAAUUAAUUGAGUUUGUGUCUUGUUGGUAUUUCUUUCUUCAUUUUAUUGAGAUACCGCUAAUUAGGUGUAUUUUUCUCUGGAAAUUAAAUAUAUUCAGUGUUCUUUGAUAGAAAAAUAAAGCAAGAUGUUAUGUUGGCGAGUCGAGGUCAGCCAGUAAAAACAAACAAAAGAAAAAAAUCCUGCUUGAAUUUCUAAAGAUUGAGGCAAUGAUGAAAAAUAGAUAAGUAAAUAAAUAAAUGCCUUAAAAAUAAUUAAUGUAAACUUAUUUUGUGUGCUGUUUUGUAGAACUGUUAAUGAAGCAUUGUGUGAUGAUUAAAAAUAAAUUUCCUAA